rfam:Coccidioides posadasii str. Silveira unplaced genomic scaffold supercont2.6, whole genome shotgun sequence.
ACAUACGACCAUAGGAAGUGGAAAACAGGGCUUCCCGUCCGCUCAGCCGUACUUAAGCCACUUGCCGGUCGGCUAGUAGUUGGGUGGGUGACCACCAGCGAAUCCCGGCUGAUGCCCGUC